GCAGGUAAUGCUGCCACCAUGCCAAGAGGGUGAUGCACCCUAACCACAAGACAGACACCCCAGAACUCACUGUGUGAAACUCUUCAUCCAGCUGUUCAUCAGUAUCCUUCAUAACAUCCUUUCCAAUAUGCUAAUAUAUGACACCUGUUCCUGAAGUUCUCCAAGGUUUCCAUAUCAUAAGAAUGGCCUGAUUUUGUAAGAAUUUCCCCUAAAUUAGGAAGUCAAGCUGUAAAUCAUGGCUCGGGCACUGACCUCCUCUGGGACGUCAGGAAAGGCAUUAACCUGCCUGGUUUCCCUGUAUUCCUCCAGAAAAUGGAAGGCACAGUUCAGUUCCCAGAUGCUUGGAGAGCUCUUUCACAACAUCUGCAAAGUUAGCUAAAGCUACUCAGCCAUGAGUGAUUUAGAAAUUCAAUACCUUGUUAUCUUUAUGGAUUGAAAUGGAUUUUUGAACACUGCUCUUGCAAGAUGGUCUUUCUUCAAAUACAUUAGCUACAUUUCUUCUUGGAUUGAGAACCAACAACAACAACUUAUUGUUUAGGAGUUACCCAUGUUCUAAUACAAAGAGAUAUGACAGUCAUCACGGCUUACAAUAAAUCACUCUCUGCUCAGUCUCCUGACAGCUGACUUUGUAAAUCAGACACAAGAAAAGAGCAUACCAUGCCUAGUCUAGAAAGACACUGAAGGAAUUAAAUCAGCUUGUCCAGCAGCAAGCUUCAGAGCCAAAUAUAAGCACACCUCAUAAUUCAGAGACCUCGUGAUGGGUCCUCAGAAGACACACCCAGCAGCUGCCAAAUGAACAGCAGAUGACGGAAAGGGGCCCUUGGCCUGAUCUCUCAUGGGAGACAGUGACCUUUCCUGAGUUGAAGAUGGUGAAAUGCCAGAAGGAGCUGAUGAGGCUGUCCCACACACUGACACUGCUAUGAUAUCAUGAUUGAAUUUCACUUUUUUCUCCCACCAUAAUGUAAUUUCUGGGCAGUGAUUGGGGUGUUGAUUCAUAAACACCCCUUACUGUUCUGCAUUGGAUUAAUCAUGAUGUACUGUCUUUUUCUCACUAUUUACAAAGUACAGCACCAUGAGAAUCCCUGAAUUUUAGAAUAAGUUUCUCUCCACUGGAAUAUAACACAUAUUUUGGGUUCUUUGCCUGGACUGGUCAUUUCUUUCUUUUACUAAUUGUUGUGAAAGAAUGACAGAGAUGUACAACAUGGUUUUUGAAUGGAUGCUGAGUUUAACUCUCCCGCUUACCAGAGAUAAAGUUGGCCAUACACACACGUCUCUUAUAUAAGAGUUUAUUCAUUGGCAGACACUUUGAUGAUGACAUUGAGUUAGAUGAAAUACUGGUUCCAGUUUGUAGCACUUUAUGAAUUUUCAUGUAAAGUGAUCAUUCAAUUUAAGGUUUCUGCACACAUCUUACAAAGCAUAUCUGUUUAUCAGAGCUCAUUUACUUAAGAGGAUUAAAAUGAAAUCUCUCCUCAUGAGCCAAGGGUGAAAUAGCUAGUGUCCGCUCCUAAAUAUGUGAACUAAUAUGUUUUUCCAUGGGCAAGCAAGAUUUUGUUUUUCUCCUAUUUUUCUUCUUCAGAAGGAAAUGAUUAAAAUAUUAAUAACACAAAAAUAAAUAUACAUUAUAAAACUCAAAAAAAUAAGGAUUUUUAUUGGAGUAAAGUUUUUAGUGGAGUAAAUUAUACAAUAUUAAAAAAGCAAUGGAAUUUAAAAGCAUGCCAUUUUUAAGUUUCCCUUUAUUAAUACAUUAGCAUACACAAAAUCUCAAUUAAAAAUUGCUUUAAAAGAUACUAAGUGCCAUUCAACUCUUAUUCUUUUAUCAUCUUCAAAAUAGCUGUUUAAAUCUAUAUUUAUACAAAAUAGCUGUUUAAAAAAUAUCUUUUUUUAAUUUUUUUCAUUUUUUU
rnacentral:lncRNA from 10 species